rnacentral:rRNA from 1 species
GAUGAACGCUGGCGGCGUGCCUAAUACAUGCAAGUAGAACGCUGAAGCUUGGUGCUUGCACCGAGCGGAUGAGUUGCGAACGGGUGAGUAACGCGUAGGUAACCUGCCUCUUAGCGGGGGAUAACUAUUGGAAACGAUAGCUAAUACCGCAUAAAAGUCGACAUUGCAUGAUGUUGAUUUGAAAGGUGCAAUUGCAUCACUAAGGGAUGGACCUGCGUUGUAUUAGCUAGUUGGUGAGGUAACGGCUCACCAAGGCGACGAUACAUAGCCGACCUGAGAGGGUGAUCGGCCACACUGGGACUGAGACACGGCCCAGACUCCUACGGGAGGCAGCAGUAGGGAAUCUUCGGCAAUGGGGGCAACCCUGACCGAGCAACGCCGCGUGAGUGAAGAAGGUUUUCGGAUCGUAAAGCUCUGUUGUAAGAGAAGAACGAGUGUGAGAGUGGAAAGUUCACACUGUGGCGGUAACUUACCAGAAAGGGACGGCUAACUACGUGCCAGCAGCCGCGGUAAUACGUAGGUCCCGAGCGUUAUCCGGAUUUAUUGGGCGUAAAGCGAGCGCAGGCGGUUAGAUAAGUCUGAAGUUAAAGGCUGUGGCUUAACCAUAGUACGCUUUGGAAACUGUUUAACUUGAGUGCAGAAGGGGAGAGUGGAAUUCCAUGUGUAGCGGUGAAAUGCGUAGAUAUAUGGAGGAACACCGGUGGCGAAAGCGGCUCUCUGGUCUGUAACUGACGCUGAGGCUCGAAAGCGUGGGGAGCAAACAGG